rnacentral:rRNA from 1 species
UGCCGCGUGUGUGAAGAAGGCCUUCGGGUUGUAAAGCACUUUUGUCCGGAAAGAAAUGGCUCUGGUUAAUACCUGGGGUCGAUGACGGUACCGGAAGAAUAAGGACCGGCUAACUACGUGCCAGCAGCCGCGGUAAUACGUAGGGUCCAAGCGUUAAUCGGAAUUACUGGGCGUAAAGCGUGCGCAGGCGGUUGUGCAAGACCGAUGUGAAAUCCCCGAGCUUAACUUGGGAAUUGCAUUGGUGACUGCACGGCUAGAGUGUGUCAGAGGGGGGUAGAAUUCCACGUGUAGCAGUGAAAUGCGUAGAGAUGUGGAGGAAUACCGAUGGCGAAGGCAGCCCCCUGGGAUAACACUGACGCUCAUGCACGAAAGCGUGGGGAGCAAACAGGAUUAGAUACCCUGGUAGUCCACGCCCUAAACGAUGUCAACUAGUUGUUGGGGAUUCAUUUCCUUAGUAACGUAGCUAACGCGUGAAGUUGACCGCCUGGGGAGUACGGUCGCAAGAUAAAACUCAA